AUAUCCCUUUGAAUUGAUAUUCUCCUAUUCUUUGCGCAAAUAUCCAGUAGUGCGAUUUCUGGGCCAUAGGGUACUUCUAUUUUUAAUUUUUUGAGGAACCUUCAUACUGUCUUCCACAGCAGUUACACCACUUUGC